GAUGAACGCUAGCUACAGGCUUAACACAUGCAAGUCGAGGGGCAGCAUGGUCUUAGCUUGCUAAGGCCGAUGGCGACCGGCGCACGGGUGAGUAACACGUAUCCAACCUGCCGUCUACUCUUGGACAGCCUUCUGAAAGGAAGAUUAAUACAAGAUGGCAUCAUGAGUCCGCAUGUUCACAUUAUUAAAGGAUUCCGGUAAAGGAUGGGGAUGCGUUCCAUUAGGUUGUUGGUGAGGUAACGGCCCACCUAGUCUUCGAUGGAUAGGGGUUCUGAGAGGAAGGUCCCCCACAUUGGAACUGAGACACGGUCCAAACUCCUACGGGAGGCAGCAGUGGGGAAUAUUGGUCAAUGGGCGAGAGCCUGAACCAGCCAAGUAGCGUGAAGGAUGACUGCCCUAUGGGUUGUAAACUUCUUUUAUAAAGGAAUAAAGUCGGGUAUGGAUACCCGUUUGCAUGUACUUUAUGAAUAAGGAUCGGCUAACUCCGUG
rnacentral:rRNA from 1 species